AGAGUUUGAUCCUGGCUCAGAACGAACGCUGGCGGCGUGGAUAAGACAUGCAAGUCGAACGCUAAUUUCAGGGUAGCAAUAUUCUGAGGUUGGAGUGGCGCAAGGGUGCGUAACACGUGGGUAAUUUGCCGUGAAGUUGGGGAUAACUCGCUGAAAGGCGAGCUAAUACCGAAUGUGAAAAUUGGGAGGCAUCUUCUGAUUUUUAAAGUUGGGGACCGCAAGGCCUGACGCUUCUCGAUAAGCCCGCGGCCUAUCAGCUAGUUGGUGAGGUAACGGCUCACCAAGGCUAAGACGGGUAGCUGGUCUGAGAGGACGACCAGUCACACUGGAACUGAGACACGGUCCAGACACCUACGGGUGGCAGCAGUCGAGAAUUUUUCUCAAUGGGCGAAAGCCUGAAGGAGCGACGCCGCGUGGGGGAUGAAGGGCUUCGGCUCGUAAACCCCUGUCAUUUGCGAACAAACCUUAUGGUUUAAUAGAUCAUGAGCUGAUUGUAGCGAAAGAGGAAGGGACGGCUAACUCUGUGCCAGCAGCCGCGGUAAUACAGAGGUCCCAAGCGUUGUUCGGAUUCACUGGGCGUAAAGGGUGCGUAGGUGGCGGGGUAAGUUUGAUGUGAAAUCUCCGAGCUUAACUCGGAAACUGCAUUGAAUACUAUUCUGCUCGAGGGUUGGAGGGGGGACUGGAAUACUUGGUGUAGCAGUGAAAUGCGUAGAUAUCAAGUGGAACACCAGUGGCGAAGGCGAGUCCCUGGACAACUCCUGACACUGAGGCACGAAAGCUAGGGGAGCAAACAGGAUUAGAUACCCCCGUAGUCC
rnacentral:rRNA from 1 species